rnacentral:pre_miRNA from 1 species
UUUUUAGUGUAAGUGUGUCCCAUGCAAUAUCUGGGACACACUUAUGCUAAGU